CAGUAGAGGCUGUGGGGAGCUGGGGCAGAGGGGGAUGGGGUUAGUGUUUGCAAGGUUUGGGUUUCACUAUGGGAAGAUAGAAAAGCUCUAGAGAUGGAUGGGGUGAUGGUGCCACAUCAUGUAUGCACUGUGCCACUGAGCUAUACACUUAAAAAUCGUUAAAGUAGUGCAUUUUGUGUUUUGUUAUAUUUUUAAGAAAAGAGCAAAUCCAGCACCCAAGCACUGACUGUAGAGUCAGAGAAGAGAGUGACAAAUCACUUCAUCUACUCACCUCCUUUUAUUAACAAGGGAACCAGGACCCACGGAAGUGCCUCCCCAGGUCACAGAGCUGGUUAGUGACAAGCCUGCUCUAACUCCCGCUCUCCUGCUGCUUCCAUUACACUGGAGAAUCCAUUUCUCCCUGACGUGAUGCCCUCCCACAUGUCCCCACUGCCCCCAAUGCAGGAGGCCAGCACAAGGCUGUGAGUGGAUGUAGUGAUGCCACAGUCACCCGUCCUCAGCCCAAUAUCCGUUCCACCAUCUUUGAAGAUUUCCCUUCAGCCUCUUCCCUUAGUGAAGGCCUGGUUUCCAGACAGCCACCAAGGAAGCAGGACUGAGAACAGCGGUGCUGGGAUCCAUCCUCACCUAGAGGUGUCCAGUGAGGGACUAGGCCCAGCUGGCCCUGUGUGGCCCAGUGGAUGGAUGAGCUUAUUUUAUUUUGAUAAAAUAGAUGAUACUUUGAUGAGUUCACCAGGUGAGCCUUCAUCAUGGGAUCUGAGGAUAUAAAUCCCUCUCUCCCUCUGUCUCUCCCUCCGUCCUUCCCUCUCUCCCUCUCCUACUUGAGGACACAAUAAGAAAGUAGCCAUCUUCAAGCCAGGACCAGCACGUGAGAGAGUAAAGUUCUGCUGUUUAAGCAGUCCAGCCCUUGGUUUUGUCAUGAAAGUCCAGACUGGCUAAGGCAGAGCUGGAAGCCCAAAAUUAGUGCUGACAGAGUUUCUUCUCGCCAGAGGCUCUGAGAAAGAUGCUCUUCCAUGCCUUGCUUCUAGCACCUGUUGCCAUUCCUCGGCCAUGGCAGCGUAACUCCAGUCUCUGUCCCAUCUUCACAGCCUUUGUCCCUGUGUCUUUAUGUUGCCUCCUUUUCUGUCUCUAUAAGGACCUUUGUCGUUGGAUUUAGGGUCAACUCGCAAUCCAGGAUGAUCUCAUCACAAGAUCCUGAGCUUAAUUCAUCUGCAGCCAGGUGCAUGCCUGUAAUCUCAGCCCUCUGGGAGCCUGAGACAGAAGGAUCAAAAGUUUGAUCUGGCCUGCCUGAUCAACGACUUAGUGACACAGCAAGACCCUGUCUCAAAAUGAAAAAUUUUAAAAAGGCUGAGGAUGUAGCUCAAUGUGAAGGCCCUGGGUUCAAUCCCUAGUACUGCAAAAACGAAAACCAAAUGGAGUCCUGAGAGAAGCUGUGGGCAGACAUCAUCUUUCCAGAAGCCCUGAAGAGAGCCGGAGGGCAGAGCGCCCUGAGCUCACCUCGGACUCGCCCGGAGCUCCGCCCUUCCCUUAGCCCACCUGGACGGAAAGGAAACGGACGGGCAGCUCGGGCCACGCCUCUCACUGUGGGCCCCGCGACAUUUCCGGGCUGGGAGAAGCCGAAGCCCGUAACCUCCAGUUCCCCGCAGCUUGAGGCCACCAGCGCCUGGAGAUUUUCAAACACACUCAAAGAGCUGGGAGGAGCCUGGCGGGGCCACGAAGGAGGGCAGUACUGACUCAUCACGAACCUCCAGGGCCCGGAGCCAGGGCGGCCUGGGCCCAGAGCCUCAGUCCCCUGCAGCCAGGUCAGCAGGAAACUGUCCCCCAAGCCCUCCUGCGCCAAAGAGAGGGCCUUUGGAAGGUGCUUGGAUGGUGGGGGCCACAGCCCAGUGUGCUGUUAGGAGGUGGGAACAAGGCCCCACUGGGGGCCUCCCUCCCCCGCUCCUCCCUUCCCACUCUGCUUCUGGCCUCGAGAGCUCCUUUGCCUCCGCCCUGCCCCUGUGCCAGCCUCCUUCUCCCUGGAGACCCGCAGCGCAAACCCCUGGCUGAAACCGUGAACCAAAAUAAGCCUCCCCUCCUUUAAGCAUGGGAUAUUGUGUCCCAGUGACCAGGACAGUGACUGAGGAACCCAAAGGGACAUCUGGUGACAUCUGAAUCAGUGAGCACUUUAGUCACUGGUACUGAACCUGUCUUUUUGCUGAGGUGCUGACGGUGGGCAGGCGCUGUACCCUCAGCCACAUCCGCAGCCGCACAACCAGGAUCGCCUCGUGUUUACAAAUGUACGGCGGCUGUGCCAACAGUAGGGGGAGCUGGCGGGCGAAUACAUGGGAACUCUAUUUUCAAUCUGUCAAUCUAAUAUCAUCCUUCCCCCAGAGCUUAUUAACAGUCAGAGCUGGGAAGGCAGAGGAGUGGAAAGAAAAAGGCAGAAAUGGAGAGGAUGUGGAGAAAUUGGAAACCCGGGUCUUGCUGGUGGGAAUGUAAAAUAGUGCAGCUGCUAUGCAAAAUACUUUGGCAGUUUCCCAAGAAAUUACACACGAAUGGUCCAGCAUUGCGCUUCUAGGUGUAUGUCGAAAGGAACUGAAAGCAGGGACUUGCACAGAUAUUUGAACGCAAUGUACAUAGCAGCAUUAUUCACAACAGCCAAAAGAAGGAAGCAACCCAGGAACCCAUCAGCACACGGCGGAUAAAGGAAAUGUAAUAUACAUAUCAUGGAGUAUCGGCCUUCAAAAGGACUGAGAUUUUGACAUGGAGAGUUCUUAAAGACAUUAUGCUAAGUGAAAUAUGCUAAUGUGAAGGGUUACAGGAACUACUCCAAGGAGAUGCUGGGAAGUAGCCUGGGAAUGGCCAUCCCUCUCCCAUCAUUUCUCUUCCCUCAAUCCUGCUUCAGCUUCUGUCAGCCUGUGAAGGUCCUGCAGAGUGAGGUUAAGAUCGCACCUGACUGACCAUCUCAAAAAAGAACCAGAACAAUCUCCUUGUGCUUUCCCUGAGCUGGUGAAGCUGGUAAAAAUCACUGAAAAUGAGGAAAGUAAAUUAACACAAGGAAGAAGCAGGACAAGGGGGAUUCUGUCCUCCUGACUACUGAGUUAACUGCAAUGAAAACAAAGUACAAAGGACUGCUAGUUCUGUGCAUAUAUUUACAUAGAAAUGUGCAAUUUUUUUUAAAAGGGGCCUUCCUGGUGUUUCUUUACUUAUGGGUUUAAUUUUUUAUCUCCUCAAUGUCCACCAGGAGGGCUCUGUUAAUAUUUACGUCGUGGGCCUUCCUGAGGAUGAGUUCAUUUCAGUCAUUGCUAAUCAACAGCCUUACUAUGAUGUCUUCUUUAUCCUGUAACAUUCCUAUUAUCCCUAACUCUUCAAAAAUACUCUUAGGAUAUUUUAGCAAGUGCCCUCUUCACCUUUUAAAGAGUUGUCUCCAGAUUGUUCAUAUUUGAAUAGCAUUUUAAAAACAAAUAUCAAUUGCCACAAUAAAUAAAUAAUGUAAACAAAUUCAACCUUCCCUGGCCUCUGCAAUGACUUCCAAUUUCACAGUUCAAAGCAUGGAAAUAAUUAUUCAAAAAACAGGGAAGCAGGGGCUGGGGAUUUAGCUCAGUGGUUCUGGUA